CAGUCGCCGCGGGAAUACGGAGGGCGCGAGCGUUACCCGGAUUUACUGGGCGUAAAGGGCGUGUAGGCGGCCUGGGGCGUCCCAUGUGAAAGGCCACGGCUCAACCGUGGAGGAGCGUGGGAUACGCUCAGGCUAGAGGGUGGGAGAGGGUGGUGGAAUUCCCGGAGUAGCGGUGAAAUGCGCAGAUACCGGGAGGAACGCCGAUGGCGAAGGCAGCCACCUGGUCCACUUCUGACGCUGAGGCGCGAAAGCGUGGGGAGCAAACCGGAUUAGAUACCCGUGUAGUCCCUGUCUCUUAUAC
rnacentral:rRNA from 1 species